UGGAAACUUCAGAGGCGGCGCAGGGGCUGGCGGAGGACGGUCCUGGGCGCGGGUCCUGACGGACAGCGCCCCUUCCCCCUCCUCCCCGUGGCGGGCAGGCCCGGCCCUCCGCCGCCGGCCCGUGGUCGGCUUGUCCUGUGCCCGGUGCCCUUGUGCCUCGGUGCCCGCUCCUGCUCGGAGACGAUCCCGUUCUUCGGCUAAUUGACCGCGAAUGCCUCGCUGUCCGGAACGCGCGCUCUCGCAGGCGGGACCCGGGGAGGAGAGCGUGUUAGAGAUGUACCCCGGGCGGAACGGAGAUCUUCAUUCAGCAGAUUCAUAUUUUGGCCCGGGUGGUUGACGGGGUAAAAAGAGUUAAAGCACGGCUGAGAAACCUCAGGCACCCGAGACCCACCCAUAGCUGGAGGGGACGGCAGGAGGUGGGGGCUGAGGAGAUGUCUGCCAUUAGGCAUGUUUAUCCUGACAAGUAGGAGAUUCGUAAGGUGCUGCUUCGCUUUCUGGGUUUGUAGGCUGGGAGGCUGGUGGGUGUCAUGAGGGGAAAAGCUGAGAACUGGCUGCUCCAUUUAACUUCAUUUUCUUUUUCUCUCUCUCCCUUUUAUAAUAGUUGAAGCAAAUAUCAAAGGCCACGAUGAGCUCAGAAAGUUCAGACUGGUGUGGAUGUUCAGCCUACUGUUUAAAGACUGCUGAUAACGGUUCUAGAAAUAGCAUCAUCUUCUAGUAGAAGCUUUUCUUCUUAAAGAAAAAAGUAUAUCAUCGAAAUAAGAUGCAUUCUGGGAAAGGAGAGGAUAUUAAUGAGAAAAGUUGUUUACUAAUAUAACUUGCCUCCUAGUGCUUUGGCAACAUUGCUUAUGUCUGAAAGGUGUUCCCCCCUUUACCCUCCCUUUUCAAUAGAAAAAUAAUAUCUGUAAAACAUGAUUGUAUAAGCCAGGCAUAAUUCCACCAGUGGUCAGGUGACUCACUCAUGCUGCCUUGUUGUUGUUAAGAAUUAGUAAUAGAUAGCAAAAUAGUAUGUAGCUGUUACAGUUGUUAGCAUUGUGAUCAUAUUUUUGAGGGACAGAGAUUUUGAUGACAUCGGUAUAUGUUUUCACAUCUAAUCACGUGAAAUUCUCUACUAGUCUCAAUAAAUGCCACACAAAUAUUCAUCUUGGCACUGGAAAAACCAGUGUGAUUUGUUUGUUUCGCCAAGCAUGCAGGGAGAAAGACAAUUCUUAAGAGGUACUGUCAGUCAGAGCGCUUUCUCUGAAAUGAAGGAUCAGGCUUCAGCAGUCCUGCCGCUUUACCUGCUGCAGUGAAGAAGGGGCAAAUUUUAUAGAACUUGGUAGAACUACAGAUACCAGAAUGUCUUUUAGGGAAAAGCAGGUUCAUGAGGGCUAUCAGGUUAUUCAUAUGUAUGUAAAUUCUCUAGAGACAGAAACUUUCUAAUCUGUAACACAAAAUCAGGUUCAGGCUAAUGCUAGUGAUACAUCAAAAGAGGAGGGAGGACAGAGGAGCUAUCAAGGACUACUGACAGAUACCUGUAAAGUACAGUCAAAGUCCAGUGAUCAUGUGUGACCAGAUUUUGAAUUACUGUACAGUUUGCCUUUAGUUUUUACAUUAUUUUAUAUAUUAUUUGGCUAUAUUUUGGUAGUUUGGCCCUGACCAAGAUGGCUGUGCUGUUCUAUAGCUUGCCCUCUGUCCAGGACAGACAAAUAUAUCAACUGCAAAGUGAUAUUAAUGCAUUUACCAGAGUGUGUUUUUUAUCCUGCGGGACCACAAGCUCAUUGCUACCUUGGGAUUGAAGCUUGCUGCAGAGUGAUCUCUGGGCAGCCUGGUGAUGAAGUGGUAGUUUCUUUAUCCUUCUCCUAUAACUGAAAUAUCUUGCUUUGUUUUUUUAAAUAGCAGCAAUUUGAACGUGCUGAGAUGUUUCUAAUACAGGUGCUUGGAGAUGGAAAUUUUUCAGUCUGGUGGAGGAUAGACCAUGAAACUAUUUGGACAUCACUGCUAGUAAACAAAGGCAUCUAUUCUCCAAAGCUCUAAGUGCACUGUGUAAGCAAAUGCCGAUGUCUCUGGAGAUAACAGCAGUAAAUGUAAUGUGCUGUGUCUCAAAGCAAGUGCAACAUUUCCUUCCUGAGCCUGUUUGUGAAAACCAGGUUAUAUCUGCCAUUUUGUUAUCACUGAUUGCAUGUUUCUCUUCUUGCAGGCACUCCUAGUUGUGUUGAGCUUACUCCUGUGUCGACUGCAGAUUUUCCCAGUUGAGGGGACUAUGUUAUGUUUGAGAUCCCUAAUGAAUGCUGCACUAAUUAACUUUGGUCCUAGAAGGUCAUUGCGUGAUGCAGUGGGAUGAUCUUAUUAACCUUAUCCUGAGACUUACAGUUUGUACUGAUCACAAUAAGUCUGUGUUUUUUUCUGUUUAGCUCAGGCUGCCCUCGCAUAAUACAGUGCACUCAGAAGUUAGGAAAAAAAAAUCCCCAAGCCUGCUGCACACAGAGUCGGAAUAAGUUUAACUGUUUGACCUACAACAGUUCUGUCAUCAUCAAUUGACACGUUCGUCUUUCUUUUCUUGAAAUAAAGCUUUUCCCCAGUGUUCUGGCAGCAACACAAGGAUUGCUGGCAAUGAAGUCACCUUCAAAGCAGAGACAUUCAUGAAACAAAUGCAUUUCUGGAAGAAAGUAAGGCAGCUUGCACCAGAAUUUUUAUGAUGGCUGUGCUGCAACCAGAGCUUAUCAAGUAUCUGUGUUGAGUAUUUAUAAUUGCUUGACUUGCAUUUGCCCAUUUGGGCACAGCUCAUCAUGGGAGUACCUUUUUCUUUAACAAAAGGGAAGUAGGGAGGCCAGGGGUAUUUCAGGAAAUCAAGAAAACACAUAGAGCAACUAAGUUACUAAAGCAACAGAACUAACAAGAUUUUUUUUAGCCCAAAAAAUCAAAGUGUGAGGAUCUGUAAUUAAAGAGUAGCACCAAAAGUCAGAGAACAAGGAGAACAUUGCUGUGGUUAAAGGAGGCCAUUUUGCCAAAGGCAGUCACCUGCAGUCCAGGCUGGAGAAGGGAAAUGCCAUUGUAGGCUCAAAGAUUGAUACAUCUAUCAAAAAUUUUUUUGUUACUGGCUGUGCCAGACUUUCUGCCUCACUCUCCUUCAUACAUACAGUUACCCUUCUGUUCCUGAUGGAUAUAUCUUUUUCUGCUGCUGAAAAGUAGAAAAUGCUUAGGUAAACAUACAAGAAAUGGAAAUCUGAGUAACUACAGCUGAGGUUUUAUUUGAGAUGAUGCUUUUCUGAGCAGUGUCAUUCUUGAGAUGAGUUAGAUACUCUCCACAGAUUUUAGGAAUGCUUUUAAGGGGAGGGUAGUUAGAAAAUAGGUAUGUGGCUUUGGGCUUUCUCUCAUCAUUGACUUCUAGACAUCAUAUGGAAACAGAUUAGUGCUAACUAAAGGGAGGGUGGUAUCAUCACUUUGAUGAUGUUAACAUGAAAAAAUAGCUGUUCUUGAGUACAGGUAAUAAUGUGGAGUCAUUUGAAGAUGUUGAGAUCAGAAUUACGUACUUUGAGGAAAGAAGGAAUAGUAGUGUAAUUUCAUUAUGGUUUUUAUAAAAUCUUAGGGCUUUUUGUUUGAAAUCGCAUGUCAUUUAUUGACAUCUGCUCAGAUUUUAAAAACAUAAUGCAUAAAACCAGUGUUAAAUGCUAGAUAGUACUGAUCUUUGUCCUUUCCUCUGCAGGAGGCCUGUAAGCUGUUCCCAUGUCAGAAUGAGUAAAAUGUCAUUUUGGGGUUUUCUGAAUGAUGGUAGGUAGCUUUCUCACAGCAGGUCCUGAAGGAAGAGCCAAGUGUCUCUCUUGCACUGAGCAGAGGAGAAGUGUGUCAAAUCUCUGAGAUGCCAUCAAAUGUCACUAGAAGCUGUGCUGUACUAGAGGAUUAGGAGUAUGCAUCUGACAGCGAAUGUCCUGAUACAACUGGGACUCAGCUGCGUUUUCCAGAUUGUUGUUUUCCCCGUGUUGCCGUUGCAGAAAACUUUACUGCCUAAGGAAAAGUUGCAGGCUCAAAGUAGGACAUGCUGCCCAGAAGACUGCAAACAGCUUAACAUGAAUACAAGCUCUUUGAUAUGAUGGACCACUUUCAUGACCUCUUUAUAGCAGAUUACCGUCUUUUUCUUUAUCUUUAUACCAUUCACAUUGUUAAUAGAGAGUACUCUGCGUGCUGCAGCUUGUCACAUGCAAUUUUAAUCUAUCUUGAGAAAGCUUCCUUAAAACUUGAAAAAGAGGGAGGAAAACACAUCUCUUCUGAUUUGCCUUCUAAUUUGACAAUCUCUUCCUUGACAGCUUUUGCAAACUCUACCAGGAGAAAAAAAAAAAAGAAGUGUACUGAAUAAUUCAGCCUUGAGAGUGAAUUGAGUUUGAGAAUUGUUGAAUUCCCAAGUCUGUGGUUUGUGGUUUUUGUUAUCGACUGCUCACAUGGAUUUAAAGUCCUGUCUCUGCAGUUGGUGGUUUUUGUCUCCCCUUUGGAUGCUACAGUUUUGUCUGGCUUUCGACCCUUGAACACCAGCUCUCUGAUCUUGCAAAUAAACAUACAAAAACUCUUGAAGGACCUUCCUGCUUCCAAGGAUAUUUAAAAGCACGCUGCAGCCUGAGAAACAAAAGCAGAAUUAUGGUGUGGAUCCUGGGGACAGAAA